rnacentral:rRNA from 1 species
AACGCGAAGAACCUUACCUGGGCUUGACAUGCACUGGAAACCAGUAGAGAUAUUGGCCCCCUUGUGGCCGGUGUACAGGUGGUGCAUGGCUGUCGUCAGCUCGUGUCGUGAGAUGUUGGGUUAAGUCCCGCAACGAGCGCAACCCUCGUUCCAUGUUGCCAGCGGGUAAUGCCGGGGACUCAUGGGAGACUGCCGGAGUCAACUCGGAGGAAGAUGGGGAUGACGUCAAGUCAUCAUGCCCCUUAUGUCCAGGGCUUCACACAUGCUACAAUGGCCGGUACAAAGGGCUGCGAAACCGUGAGGUGGAGCGAAUCCCAUAAAGCCGGUCUCAGUUCGGAUCGGGGUCUGCAACUCGACCCCGUGAAGUCGGAGUCGCUAGUAAUCGCAGAUCAGCAACGCUGCGGUGAAUACGUUCCCGGGCCUUGUACACACCG